AGUCGAGAUUCACUUACUUUGAUGAAACGGUCUAGUCAUUUAUUGGUUCUUUGAUGUUGUUGGUUUAGGUCUGGCCUUCAAACAAGUUCGUAUUUCCUGGUUUGAUGUUUUUCUUUUUCCUAUUGGCCUCGCUGGGCCGAUGAUUUUUUUAAUUGGGCACUCCGACAAGUUUUUAUUUUGCUUUCUCUUUGUUUGUACAUGAUCAAGGUAGGGCGAGUUGAAGGAAUCUUUAGCUUCUCAACCGAAGGGCGUGAAUCGCGUGAUUUUGUUGAAGGUUAUUUUGCAAAAACCAGUUCACAUUUUGAAUACGUCUGUGGCUUUGAUUUCGUCUGAAAUCACGAUAAAGAAUUUCCCGAACUAUGCUACUGGUGCAUUGGUAGCAUUAAAUUCAAAUUUUUCAAAUUUUAUCAUAAAGAUUUUUUCGCCACCACAAGGUGGCCUAUAAAAGUAAAUGGACAAAACGAUCACUUUGAUUGUUGUUAGAUGUCGCUAGAAUCGCAUUGUUUUCUUGUCACAUGUUGAAAGUUCCUACUUGUGUCUUCCAUGUUUCUUCGUAAUUUUCUUUGUGUUUCGUUUGGAAUAAUUUCAACGCCUUACUAAAUGUGGAUGAGAUGGAGUAUUCAAGUACAGUCCUUACUAUUCCACUGCAUUUAACGAUGAGACAAUCAGACAACACAAGUUCACACAAAGGAAUCACAGUAAACUUCCUGGCGGAUUACGAAGCUCACUUUUACGACGUUUUUUGCCUUGGUAUAUUUAUGGGCCUCACCACAAUGAGUGUUGAAUCCUGAAAGAAUUGCUGACUGCUACCUCCUCUCAACAUUUCGUAUUUUGGCGGAUGAAAUUUUUGCCAUACUUUCUCGCCAGCAGCCGUUCUUUAGUGGACAAUCGGAGGGAGUUAAUCCAAAAUCUUUAACACCUACCUGAGAUCGCGAGUCGGCCGCCGAUGUCAAUCUACAACAUUAUUCUACAACUCUUCUACAACCCUAUUCUUUAUUGGAAUUGUGUGGUCCGGCACGGAGAUCCUUGAGUCAAUGGUGACUUGCAGCUGAUCUUUGUCCAGGACAGAAGAGUGAUUUCCACCAAAGUUCUGCUCCAAGGAUGGAGAUCUUCGCGACGCACGCUCAUCUAGCUUCACUGCUGCUGCUACACAUAUUGUCGUACAUCACUGACGAGUAAGACCACUUCAGUGGUCCCUUCAUCCGCACCUGUAGUCAUUCUCAACGGGAUUAUGCUCAGGUUUAUAUGCAGAGAAGACGUUGAGAAGAUGGACACCAAAAGGUCGCCGAUUUUUCAAAAAUGUCAGCGCGGAUCAUCAUUUGUUGUUGGUAAUAUGUUUUGUGUUAGUUAACCCGUUGGCUGCCACGCCUUUGUUCCCCCAUGUUAGCUCUGUAGCACGGGCCCGCGCUGUUCGGUCUCGUGGUUUAUUUGCCGCGCGGUCGGACAGUUGCACCAGCCCCAGAUUCGCCGAAAGGCCCUGUUAGGCAAUGCACCAUAGGGACUUCCCCCUUGUCG